GGGCCUGUGGUGUAUAUGGUAACACAUCAGCGUUAGCACCUGAGGAAGCGGGUUCAAGUCCCGCCAGGUCCA
rnacentral:tRNA from 1 species